rnacentral:rRNA from 1 species
CCUACGGGAGGCAGCAGUGGGGAAUAUUGGACAAUGGGCGAAAGCCUGAUCCAGCAAUGCCGCGUGAGUGAUGAAGGCCUUAGGGUUGUAAAGCUCUUUUACCAGGGAUGAUAAUGACAGUACCUGGAGAAUAAGCUCCGGCUAACUCCGUGCCAGCAGCCGCGGUAAUACGGAGGGAGCUAGCGUUGUUCGGAAUUACUGGGCGUAAAGCGUACGUAGGCGGUUAUUCAAGUCAGAGGUGAAAGCCUGGAGCUCAACUCCAGAACUGCCUUUGAAACUAGGUAGCUAGAAUCACGGAGAGGUUAGUGGAAUUCCGAGUGUAGAGGUGAAAUUCGUAGAUAUUCGGAAGAACACCAGUGGCGAAGGCGACUAACUGGACGUGUAUUGACGCUGAGGUACGAAAGCGUGGGGAGCAAACAGGAUUAGAUACCCUGGUAGUCCACGCCGUAAACGAUGAUAACUAGCUGUUCGGUCUCUACGAGACUGAGUGGCGCAGCUACGACAUUAAGUUAUCCGUCCGUCGGGUAGGUACGGUCGCGAGAAUUAAACUAACAAGGAAGUUAGUACGGCGUGAGACGUGCCGACGGACGACGACGAGGGAGGUAGG